GCUCGACCUCAGAUCAGGUAGGAGUACCCGCUGAACUUAAGCAUAUCAAUAAGCGGAGGAAAAGAA
rnacentral:rRNA from 1 species